rnacentral:lncRNA from 10 species
CAGGGGAUGCUCCAGGCAUGCACAUCCCUUCCUUCUCUCCGUGGUGCAGGACCAGGGAGAAAGCAAGCACUCUGUUCUGCUUUGCUGUGGGAGGCAAGGCCCUUCCCAGUGCACCUGCAACACUGUUCUCCACGUGUGCUGCGAGCCUAUGGGUGAGAGGCUGUGGCAGGAGCUGGCCAGCCAAGAGGCCAUGCUCCCAGGCCCUUCCCAAAAAAGACCAGCGUCAGAGGUUCCUGUCUGCCUGAGACUGGGUCCCUCUCACAGCUCCUGGCAGAUGACAGCCAGCAACUCUGUUACGAGAACAACCAAAACACAGCUUUAACAUGUGCCAUGCAUAGUCCUGAAGACCUGUGGCUGCUUUUAUUGAACAGAUGUCUGCAAAGGAGUGAGGAAAUGAAAAUCUACAGCACACUGUGAGGAGCACGGCACCAUCUGUGAAUGUGCGCGUCUCCGGAAGCCGGCGGUUCUACGUGCAGAGAGGCCCCGCGACGCAGACAACGUUGUCUUUUGCUAACAGGAUACAGUUUCUUACACAUGUGCCCAAGAAAACCAGAAAACGACAUUCACUCCAUAAUUGUAUAAACCUCAAAUGGCAAUCCACCUACGUGUCCAUCGAUGGCAGAAUGAAUAAAUGUGUAAGACGAAAUCAUAUAGAAAACGAAUGCCAAAGAGCUACAGCAGCAACACGGCGAGUUCCCAGGGGCAAGACAGAUGUACAUACCCUAAGAGACUAUUUAAGACACAACAAACAAUACUCUCUUCUGUUUGUGGAUAUAUACAUAUAUAGUGCAAGUUUGAAAAUUUGGGUGGGAUGAGAUGCAUACAUACCAACAGGGGAAAGGAGGAGAACGGGACUAGGGAGGGUCAAAAAGGACUUCCAACGUAUCUGUAACAUAUUAUGACUUAACGGAUGUGAAAUGAAUACAGCGAUUGUAAAGAUUUGUUAAAACUGGGAAGUGGAGACGUGUUUAUUAGUUAAUCUCGGUACUUUUCUGUACCAUGAAAAUUUUUAUAAGAAAAAUACUUACAGAAGCUAUAGUCAGGCUGGUAUGUACUAACUGACCUUGGCUGCAGUGAGUGGUUGAGACCACGGGCAACUGAACAUGUGCUACCCGGUGUAUGACCACACCUGCGCUCCAGCCCACUGAGGCCAAAUGUUGCCACGCCGUUCAUUUUUAAAAGUAAGGCUGAAAAUCCAGAGUCUUACUGCAAUCUCCUGAUUUAAAAAUGUUGGAAAUGAAUCCUAAAACCUUAAGACGCCUGUGUGGGCCAAGCUACGUCUGCUGUGGAAUUUGGCCCUGUGGCCUCUAGUCUAGGACUUUACACUUUCCUAUCCUGAAGCAGCAGCUGCCGUGGUUCUGAGCCUAAGCUCCAACAGCCAGAUGCCCAUCUCCCUCCAGCUCACACUUGGAGAUGAUUCUGCACCACUGGCCUGCACACGGGUCCUUGUCAUUGCUUUCUUUGUUUUGAUCACCAAAUUCCUACUACUCACACAUGCUAACUUAACAGCUCCAGUCUGAAACUUUCGACGGCUCCCUAGUACCUAAUGCCUUCCAUAUCCUGAGCCCAGCAUUCCGGUCCCAGCCAGUCUGAUGAUUUACUCAUUCGUUCAGUCCACGCUCCUUCAUAGUGCCACCCAAGGACUGCAGCUGUUUUCAGGAAUAUAUGCAGAGAAACAAAAAUAAGACUCUGGACUAAGAAAAAGAAGUACCAGGGUAGAUGAAGGUAAGGGGAACAAGCCUUGUCGCCCUGGCCCUGGCCAGCCACAUGUGCUCCUCCCUCCCAGGCUGUUGGCUGUUCCUUCACUCAGACAUGCUGGCACCGGUCCCUCUGCCUGCACGCCCUCCUCAUUUCUCGGUUGGCCAAUGUCAAGCGCCUGCUCCUCCACAGGUCCUAGAUGUUCUC